CGACAUGAACGACGUGAAGAUCCGCAUGGUCCUCACCGACACCCGCCGGGUGCACGGAGAGAUCCGGUCGCCUGACCGUGCGGGGAGCGAGUGGCGAGACCGCCGUACCAACG
rnacentral:ncRNA from 1 species